UACGUAGGUGGCAAGCGUUGUCCGGAUUUACUGGGCGUAAAGAGCGCGCAGGCGGUCGGAUAAGUCGAAUGUGAAAGCCCCCGGCUUAACUGGGGAGGGUCAUUCGAUACUGUUCGACUCGAAGGCAGGAGAGGGAAGCGGAAUUCCCGGUGUAGUGGUGAAAUGCGUAGAUAUCGGGAGGAACACCAGUGGCGAAGGCGACUACCUGGCCUGUUCUUGACGCUGAGGCGCGAAAGCUAGGGGAGCAAACGGG
rnacentral:rRNA from 1 species